rnacentral:lncRNA from 1 species
UGAAUUCUCUUGAGAAAGUUAAGUCAUUUACACUCUCUUAUAAAUAUUUCCUCGUAUAUCAUAUACAGGAAACGAUUGAGUGUAAGCAGAUAUCUAAUUAAUGUGUCUCAUGUAGUGGGUGAAACAAUUGCAAGAACUCGUUAGGACUUUUUCAUUAGCUGUUUAUGAAUUGAACUACGAACAUUAGUGAAGCAUUUUAAGGGAACUAUUUCUUGUAGUGGCGUAUUUGAUACAUAUUAUUUCGUUUGAAAAUGUAAGUAUGUCUCUCUUUAUAUAUGUAAAUGCGUAUAAACAGAUACAAGACAAUAUGGUUAAUGCCAAUGAAACAACUCUCCAUCUAAGUCAAAAUUUGUAAAAAAAAAACCAUUAUAGGCUAUUUAUAGGCUAACGUACGGUAUUCGACAUGACCUUGGGUCAACACCUAACACCAAGCUAUAAGCCCCCCCCCUCCCCCAAAAUAAAUAAAUAAACAAAUAAAUAAAAAAAUAAAAAAAAAAUAAAGAAGAAAUACUAGUGAGAAAACAUUUAAACGAGAAACCAUCGUUAGCAUGGUUUAACAUUUAUCAACAUAUAAAAAUUACAAGUCAGGAUUUUGUCUUAGGUUUACACAAAACAGAUAUGUUAUUUAUACGAAUGAUAUAAUAUGAUUCUGCAGAUUUUAAUUUUAAUCAGUUUUUGUAGUUGGAUUGCUGUUUUUUUUUAAAUUUAUUUACGUAUCUAUUUGAAUUUUAGCAAUGGAGCACGUAGCAAAGUUUUUAAAUGCCGUCAUUGUUCUACCAUUCACAGCUGGAGAUGCUACUGAAAACCAACACACAAGUUCUUAUAUACGACCGUACGAUGGUAGUAUCAGCGGAAUAAUUAUUCUUUCAAGCGUCUUGGUGAUAGCAUUUCUUGCAAUGUUUGGAAUACGAUUAGUGGACUCAGACUUUUACAAGACCAAACCAUAUUUAACAAUGCAUUCAUAUCUUUAUGUCACACUCAUCCUAUCUUUAGUUGUUUUUAUAGCGCAUUUCAUCAUACACCGAAUUAAUCGCGCAGAACGUUCAAGAAAAUCUGACGCAAUAGCCAAAUUGAAACUUGGAUUUUUAUGGAUUUAUACAAUUGGAAGUAUUUUGUAUGCCUUGGCAAAGAUAAUCAGAAUUCCAUGCAAAGAGAAAAUAGUCAAUCAAUAUAGAAGCGUUGGGUGUAUAAACAAAAACCUAACUUACUACAAUGGAUAUGAAGAGGCUUACAUCAGUUAUCAUUGCACUCAAAUUUUGUUUUAUUUUCUCCAGUCUUCUUUUAUCCAUUUCUUCAUACGUUGCUGCUUUAGAAAUUCAUGGAAAUUCUAUUAUAGCCUUGUCUUGAUAGUUCUGGCAAAUAUGUCACAAUGGGCGCAUUAUUUUUCUGGUGUAUACAAAGACAAAGAUAAAAGAAUCUAUAACUUAAACUGUUCUAUUAGUAAUAUUUCAAUCAACAGCUGCUACGGUGAAACAGUGUUGAUAAAGAUAGAGCCAUACCUAAUACCAGUUGAAAUGGAGUAUUUCCUUUUAUCGAUGAUUUUUAUUGCUGAACUUUGGCCAUCAAAUACCAGUUACACACAAGUAGUGAAUAUUAUUGAAACAGAUCGCGCAAAUGAAUAUACGCCUUUUAAAUCGUUCACAAAUAAAUUAACAAGAGUGGCUGUGUGUAGGUCAAAUAGUAUGUGGACCACUCUGUGCGUUAGUUGUGUAGUUAUAUUAUGUCUUCCUAGUUAUAUUUUUGGAUACCUGGCAUCAGCAGAGGGCGUGCAGAAGGCCCAAUCCGCCAAUGUCAAAAUAAAAACUGCAGAUAUACUAUAUGAUAUAUUUUUAUCAUUGAUCAAGACAACUUUUUUGAUAAUAAGUUUUUAUAUGAUUUCACAAUCGUCAUAUUUUAGGCCCCUUAAACGAAAGGAAGGUUUCCAUUUUCAUCAUAAGAUGAUAAGUGCUAGUUUCCUAGGUUCCGUUGGAUAUUUAUCAUUACUUAUUUUUGCAAGCAUAUAUGGUGAAAAAGCAAAUUUGUUAAUCGCUCAAAAAAUUCUCACAAUAAUAGAACUGUACUUUCAAUUAAUUUGUAUUCUCCAAUUACACAACUAUGAAAAAUAUCAACGAGGCGUUGGGGAGUAUAUUUAUCUUGCACUGUCAAUAUUCAAUCUUUGCGACUGGAUUAAUGACAGCUUUUUUGGAGCUGUUUCCGCAUAUGACAAAGAAGUUUUACAAUACGUAUAUGAAUUAACAACUCAGAGACUCAUUACUAAUUUUUUGUUUCCCUUUUUAAUCUUCUUUAGAUUUGAAUCAUUCGUCAUUAUUUAUGGUAUUUUUCGUCAAACCUCGUCUGAUAACAUUGAUAUCAAGAAUACGGAACAUUUACUUUUUGAUGAGAUUUGAAUGUAUACAUGUACUAGUAUAUAGUAUACAUGUACUAGUAUAUAGUAUACAUGUUGUAUAAACAUGAGUGUGAUGUUAAUCAUGUAGAUGAUGGAUGCUUACUUAUUUAAAAGUAAAUGGGAAUGAACUCCCAACCGUUUUAGUGUAAACUAACAUGUAAUUUUCUCUACACGGAAGAUAGUCAGACCUAAGUAUUUACAUAUAUUAUGUUUUGUUUUGUCAUAUUGAUAAUUAUUUUAAUAAAUGUUGUAAUAU